rnacentral:rRNA from 1 species
UACGUAGGGUGCGAGCGUUAAUCGGAAUUACUGGGCGUAAAGCGUGCGCAGGCGGUUCGUUAAGUCGGCUGUGAAAGCCCCGGGCUUAACCUGGGAAUGGCGGUUGAAACUGGCGAACUUGAAUCUGGCAGAGGGGGGUGGAAUUCCACGUGUAGCAGUGAAAUGCGUAGAGAUGUGGAGGAACACCGAUGGCGAAGGCAGCCCCCUGGGCUGAGAUUGACGCUCAGGCACGAAAGCGUGGGGAGCAAACAGG